CGAAAGUCUGAUGCAGCAACGCCGCGUGGAGGAUGACACAUUUCGGUGCGUAAACUCCUUUUAUAUGAGAAGAUAAUGACGGUAUUAUAUGAAUAAGCACCGGCUAACUCCGUGCCAGCAGCCGCGGUAAUACGGGGGGUGCAAGCGUUACUCGGAAUCACUGGGCGUAAAGAGCAUGUAGGCGGAUUGAUAAGUUUGAAGUGAAAUCCUAUAGCUUAACUAUAGAACUGCUUUGAAAACUGUUAAUCUAGAAUGUGGGAGAGGUAGAUGGAAUUUCUGGUGUAGGGGUAAAAUCCGUAGAGAUCAGAAGGAAUACCGAUUGCGAAGGCGAUCUACUGGAACAUUAUUGACGCUGAGAUGCGAAAGCGUGGGGAGCAAACAGGAUUAGAUACCCUGGUAGUCCACGCCCUAAACGAUGUACACUAGUUGUUGUGAGACUUGAUCUUGCAGUAAUGCAGUUA
rnacentral:rRNA from 1 species